AAUGAGCAAAAUCAUUUGCUUAUAAUGAUUUAUCCAAUGAAGCUUUUACUUCCUGUAAUACUUGUGCAAAAGUAAGUUUAAAAUAUUUAAAAUAUUAAAUUAAUAAUGUAAUUAAUUUGAUAUGUAGUUAUUAAUACUUAUACAUUUUUAAAUUAAUAAAUAAGAGUGUAUAAAUAUAAUAAUAUGAUAAACGUUUUUCUUUCGUAUACAAUUAUAUUAAUAUAAAUUAAUUUAAUGUAAAUUGAAUAAGUUGUUCUAAGUGAAAUCCAUUUCACAGUUAUUAAACUGACAAUUGAAUACUCGUAUAAUCUAUAAGUAUAGAAGUUUAAGGAAGUUCUUUUAAUUACAGAACAAAUAGUCUGUAAGCAGAAUAUUGUUUAAGACAAUCAGACAGUCAAACAAAAACCAAAGAAUUAAUAAAACAAUGAGAUUAAAAUAGAAAUAUAAAGGAAGAUUUUAAAAAUAUUAACAUUAUUUCAAAUGUCUGAUAAAGCAUUUUUAAAGUUUAUGUUAGAUUAAAAUUUGCAAAAACCUACUAUCUGAUUUAAUAGAUGAACAUGUUUUAAACAUUUGUAAACAACUUAAUAAAAACCAUUUAAGACAAAAUUUUUUUUUUAAAUAUUAUGUAUAUGUAAUAGAUUCAAUUUCGAAAAACACUAAAAUAUAUUUGAUACUGUGAACUUAUCAGAGUAGGUUAUAUAAAAGUUAAAUAUAUCAUACAAUUAUGGAAUAUAACUAGUAACAUAAUGUUUAUUCAUUAUAGAAUCAAUAAGAAUAAAGUAAAUACAUUUACAAAUUAUUGAUCAAAUAUGUCCAACGAAGUUAUUAGAUAGUAAUAUAGAAAUUAUAUGAAGAUGAGCUAAACCUGUGAAAAAUUGUCUUUCAUGUAAGUUUAUUGUCUAUUACACCAUUAAAAAUUCACCAAAUGUAUAAACUUUUAUAAUUUAUAGCUAAUAAUGAUCUAGUGUCAAAUAUAAUUACUGAUCAUGUAUUGCAAUCAUUAUGGAAUUAUAGAACAUAAUGACAUACCUAUGAUACCAUUUACUAGUUGUAAAUAAUUGAUGUUUGAAAUUAAAUAUUCAUUUUUUUCUUGCACAUUUUCAUACAAUUGUAAUGAUUUAUUUUUAUUUUACAGUUUACCAAAAAUUGGAUGGAAGUGUACAAUGUGUGAAGAUAUUUUUAAAUAUCCUAUGGUUUAAAUGAAAAUUCAUUUCAAGAGGAUUUUUCUGUAAGUAAAAUGGAGAGGAAAAUUAUUGAGUGUAUAUUAAUGUAGUUAUAUUGUUGAAAUAACUAUAGUAAAUAUUAUAGUGAUAGUCCGGGUUCAAAUCAAUUAAGAUAUAAAAUAUUCGAUUUAAUAUUUCAGGAUAACUUGAAUAUAGGUUAUAUCAUUGACUUUAGGAGCCUGUAUAUAAUAAUAAUUCCUCUAAUCCUAUAUCAUCAAAUGAUAUAAUAAGAUUUUGGGUUCUGAUAAAUCAUAGACAUCAAUCAAUGAUUUAAUUAAAACCAAGAAUAAUAUUUUCAAAUGUAAAAUCUUAUUGCCACAGUUAUUUUAAUUUAUUUGACAAUAAAAUAGAAUGUGUAAACGAUUUAUUGGAAGAAUUAUUAUAAUAUAUAUUAUAAUAAUAAAAAAAAAAAUAAUAAUAAUAAUAAUAUGAUAAAACAGCUUGGAGUGAUACAGGUUGUUUUUUCUGAUUUGCUAUAUUAUGACUUUGUUGUAAUAUUUCAAUUAAAACCAGUCAUAAAUACACAACCUUUAUAAUGGGUGUUUUCAUAUUUUCAGUUUCAUUUGUAUUUUACAUUAUAUGUUUAAAUUAUAAUAACUUAAUCUAAUCAAAUGUUUAGUUUUGUGGUUUUGUCUUGUUUUUUUUUUUUUUUAAAUUUAUUUGUUGCAAAAUGUUAUAUUACAUUUUUAAAAUAUUUAUCUAUUUCUGGCAGAUCAUCGCAGGAUUUUCUUAAUGUAAAUUAGCAUACAAUGAAACUUCAGUAUCAAAUAUAAUAACUGAUCUUGUAUCUGUAAUGCGAAACAUUAUUUGACAAAUAUUUUCAAAAUUUAAAUAAAAUCAAUACAAUUUGGUAAGGUCACUGUUUUCUUUAUCUUUUAAAAUUUGCAUAAAAAAUAAUAAUAAAAAUAAAUGUCUAUUCUGAUAGAAAACAAAACCGGUAUCCAAUUCCCUUAACAAAUUGUAUGCACUGUAGUUGUUGUGUUGCAUAAAUUUUAAAUAAUAUUAAAAUAUCUUAAUAAUUUGUUUAGGUGUAAGGCAAUUCUAUGCAGUUUUAUACCAUUUUUCAAAGCAUAAUCAAUGGAGAUGCAGAUGGUAAUAGAUUAAAUUUAAAGGAGGUAUCAACAAUUUAAUAAGGAAUAGACUAUCCAAUUCAAAACAACAGGCAUGGAUAAUAACUGCAG